ACUACGGGUGGCAGCAGUGGGGGAUAUUGCACAAUGGGGGAAACCCUGAUGCAGCGACGCCGCGUGGGUGAAGAAGCGCCUCGGCGCGUAAAGCCCUGUCAGCAGGGAAGAAAAUGACGGUACCUGACUAAGAAGCCCCGGCUAACUACGUGCCAGCAGCCGCGGUAAUACGUAGGGGGCAAGCGUUAUCCGGAUUUACUGGGUGGAAAGGGAGCGUAGACGGUCCUGCAAGCCAGAUGUGAAAGCCCGGGGCUCAACCCCGGGACUGCAUUUGGAACUGUAAGGCUAGAGUGUCGGAGAGGCAGGCGGAAUUCCUAGUGUAGCGGUGAAAUGCGUAGAUAUUAGGAGGAACACCAGUGGCGAAGGCGGCCUGCUGGACGAUGACUGACGUUGAGGCUCGAAAGCGUGGGGAGCAAACAGGAUUAGAUACCCUAGUAGUC
rnacentral:rRNA from 1 species